rnacentral:tRNA from 1 species
ACAAAAAUAGUAUAUGGGGAGUAUGGUUAGGUUACAACUAACAGGAGACGGGCAGUUUUUUUGUU